UACGUAGGGCGCAAGCGUUGUCCGGAAUUAUUGGGGCGUAAAGAGCUCGUAGGCGGUCUGUUACGUCCGCUGUGAAAACCCGGGGCUUAACCCUGGGCUGGCAGUGGAUACGGGUAGACUAGAGGCAGGUAGGGGGAGAAUGGAAUUCCCCGGUGUAGCGGUGAAAUGCGCAGAUAUCGGGAGGAACACCGGUGGCGAAGGCGGUUCUCUGGGCCUGACCUGACGCUGAGGAGCGAAAGCGUGGGGAGCGAACAGGAUUGAGAUACCCCGGU
rnacentral:rRNA from 1 species